AAAUAAGAUCAAGUCUAACUUAAAAUAUAAGUUCAAUCAAACAUUAUUAUAAUCUGCAAAAAGUCAAAACUCUGGCCCAUAAAUAUAAUAUUGUACUACAUGAGCCCAAACAGGAAAUAAGCCCAUCCCAACCUCAUACGGGCCUAAGGCCCAAGGCCCAUCAAAAAGAAACCCACGGGUUCUUCAAGAACCCGAGAACCAGUUCAAUGUCCGAUAAA